rnacentral:rRNA from 1 species
UACGAAGGGGGCUAGCGUUGCUCGGAAUCACUGGGCGUAAAGCGCACGUAGGCGGCUUUUUAAGUCAGGGGUGAAAUCCUGGAGCUCAACUCCGGAACUGCCUUUGAUACUGAGAGCUUGAGUCCGGGAGAGGUGAGUGGAACUGCGAGUGUAGAGGUGAAAAUUCGUAGAUAUUCGCAAGAACACCAGUGGCGAAGGCGGCUCACUGGCCCGGUACUGACGCUGAGGUGCGAAAGCGUGGGGAGCAAACAGG